CAGCCCCUCGAGUGGUGGGGAUGAUUAUUUGGCCUAAAGCGUCCGUAGCCGGCCGGGUAAGUUUCCCGUUAAAUCCAACGUCUCAAGCGUUGGACUGCGGGAAAUACUGCCAGGCUAGAGAGUGGGAGAGGUCAGCGGUAUUCUGGGGGUAGGGGCGAAAUCCUUUGAACCCAGGAGGACCACCAGUGGCGAAGGCUGCUGACUAGAACACGCCUGACGGUGAGGGACGAAAGCUGGGAUAACGAAUCGGAUUAGAUACCCGAGUAGUCC
rnacentral:rRNA from 1 species